rnacentral:rRNA from 1 species
CACGUAGGGGGCAAGCGUUGUCCGGAUUUAUUGGGCGUAAAGAGCUCGUAGGCGGUUUCGUAAGUCGGAUGUGAAAACUCACAGCUCAACUGUGGGCGUGCGGGCGAUACGGGCAGACUUGAGUACUGCAGGGGAGACUGGAAUUCCUGGUGUAGCGGUGGAAUGCGCAGAUAUCAGGAGGAACACCGGUGGCGAAGGCGGGUCUCUGGGCAGUAACUGACGCUGAGGCUCGAAAGCAUGGGGAGCAAACAGG